rnacentral:lncRNA from 1 species
ACGCGCUCAGAGAUCACCAGUCCCAUGAUUCCAUACCGCUGGAAAUGGAGGCCCAGAGAAUUUUUCCCAAGAUCACACAGCAAGUCAACGGCAGAGCUGGGUUCCCAUGGAUCCAGGACUCCCUACUCCUGAUUCAUCAUUCAACACAUUUGUGUCCUGCUCUUUCCAUCACUUUCUUCUGCUCAGAUCCCAUGUCUCUGGGUCUGGUCAUGUCUCCAUGGAAAAUCACCGGGGUGGUGGAGCACGAAUGUGAUGCUUUCAGAAUCCUGGGCUCUUGAAGGUACCCCAGCGCCUUGUCUGAAGGAGGGGAAGAGCCUCAGCGGCCCCGUCACCCCGUAGCUUGGGGAGCUCUGUGUGGAGGUGGAUGAGUCCAGCUGUCCAGAGCUGGGGUCUCACAGACCUGGCUUUGACGCCCAGCUCUGCGCCUUGUUUGCCACGUUCCCAUGCCUAGUCACCCUGUUUUUACGGAUUUACCCAUUUUACGGAUGGGGAUAAUACUUAGCGCUCCUUCGUGGUGUUACUGUGAGGAUUAAAUGAAACGAUGAGCAGCACCUGGGCCGGAGGGAGCAGUCCAUGAAUGUUAACAUCCUUUUUUUCUUUCAGUUGAAUUGAGAUGUAAUGACGUACAGCACUGUGUAAGUUUAAGGUGUACAGCAUAAUAACUUGACUGACAUAUAUUGUGAAAUGAUUACCACAAUAAGUUUAGUUAAUGUCCAUCAUCUCACAUAAAUAGAAAAAGAAAAAGAAAAAAAUGUUUUUCCCUUGUGAUGAGAACUUUUAGAAUCUGGUCUCUUAGCAACGUUUGAAUAUACCAUACAACAGUGUUAACUGUAGUCAUCUUGCUGGACAUUUUAACAUCCUUAUUAUUAGAUUUAUUACUAUUUUUAGAAACAGAGCUCCAAAUUGGAGUUCGUGUGGGAUAAUGCGUGUUCUGUAUUAGCUCUGGCCAAUGGAAGUUGAGCCACAGGUAAUUCUAAAUUUUUCAGUAGCCACGUUAAAAAAAAGUAAAACUAAACUGGUGAAAUUAACCUUAAUAGUAUACUUUGUUGAACCCCAUAUAUCUAAAAAAUUAUCAUUUCAAUGUGGACACAGGAAAACAAAUUAUUAAGGAGAUAGUAGGCAUUCUGUUUUUGUCCUCAGUCUUUGAAUUGGUGCGCAUUUCACACGGCGCAUCUCGAGUCAGACUAGACACAUUCCAAGUGCUCAAUAGCCACGCGUGGCCAGUGGUGCCACAUGGGACCGCACAUCCCAUGUGGUUUCCCAGCGUCCCCUGUGCAAUUGUCCCCAACUGCCCAUAGUGGGUGACACGCUGUGACACACCCUUUGCUGACCUGCUUCCUUUCCCUGCCUCAGUCCCCACUUCCCUGCUGGCAUUUCCUGGCCUCACCUCUCAAAUAAACAGUUUGCCCUCAAAGCCUUGUUCCA